CACGUAGGGCGCGAGCGUUGUCCGGAAUUAUUGGGCGUAAAGAGCUCGUAGGCGGCCUGUUGCGUCCGCUGUGAAAGCCCGGGGCUUAACCCCGGGUCGGCAGUGGAUACGGGCAGGCUAGAGGUAGGUAGGGGAGAAUGGAAUUCCUGGUGUAGCGGUGAAAUGCGCAGAUAUCAGGAGGAACACCGGUGGCGAAGGCGGCUCACUGGCUCGUAACUGACGCUCAGGCGCGACAGCGUGGGGAUCAAACAGG
rnacentral:rRNA from 1 species